AUAUAUCUUCAGAAGUAACAUCUUGAAAUUUCACCUCUGAAGUGACAGGUUUGGGCUCUUCAGAGUUCUUGAUAUAUUAUUGAACUAUGACAUUUGAAUUACCUUCAUGAAACCAUAUAAAUAUUUUUUGCUGGCCUUGUAAGUGUCAUUAUGAGCUGGUUUUUAUCAUUACUUUAAUUUCAGAGGCUGAUGUGAAGCAACUUCUCCUUUGACAGUCAGGGAAUUUCAGAAUGAGAAGUACGCUUGCAAUCUAUUUGCACAACAGACUGAAAGUACCUUUCUUCUGUGGGUUUGAUUUGAUUGCCUUACAAUUGUCCCUGUCAUCAUCACCAUGGAAUGAAGGUCGUGAGGUGUGCUGUGCAAUGAGAUGGAGAAUUUGCCUUCAGAUCAUCGGUGGGUGGAAUGGGCUCUGCUCAGAGGAGAAGCUGGUAUUUUUAUCCAGCCUCCACAAAGCCCCCAGCUCUUGGCAGCAAUGUAUCCUGGGCCUCUGACUCGCUUCUCCCCCUUCCAAGCCGGCUCAUCUUCUAUGAGUGUUUCUUCUUCUUCCCUGACUCCUUCCAAGGUGUUUACAGAUGACCCGCAUCUCAGGAACCAAACCCUUGCCUGCGUCUGUUCAGCCUUCUCUGCUUCUCGUCACUCACCCAGGAUAGAGAUCUCAUUCUGGAGUUUGCACCUCGGCCCCCCAUUUAUGACCUGUGCUAACUUGGGAAAAUUACUUCACCUCUAUUGGCCUCGAUUUCUUCGUCUGUAAAAUGGGACCGAUAUUAGUCCUUCUACAUCUGAGUUCAUUCAAGGAGCUCUGUCCCUCGCUGCAAGUUACCUCACCCAUGAGUGUGCGUCCUACUCCUACCGGCCUGUCUAAGCUCUGUCCAAACCCAGCUUCUUCCUGUCCUGCAAGCAGCCGCUCCUUGGCCACCUCUCAGGUCUACAAAUGGGUCCUCCAGAGACUAUCUCCAUGGAAGAGCUCCUUGCAGGCUGGCAGUGACUUGAGCCCCUGGAUGGGGAACCCCAUGAUCCUGGUACACAGAGUGGGGUGGGGAAGCAGGGGGUGGCACAGGCGAGGUGCUCAGAAUUGUCCCCCAUAGAGAAGCCUGGCCGAAAGGUGGCCGGAACAGGGCCCUCCAGGAGGUGGGACUCGGGGUAGGAGUCCUGGCUGUCUGGAGGGAACCAUGUUGCAGGAAAUGAACCAUGCGUUCGGGAGGGUAGUUUCUCCACAGGCUAGCUUGAAGCCCUGGUGUCCAGCACAGUUAUGGAGAUGGCAUGUCUAUAGUGCAGGAAAGAGCUUACUCCUCUCGCUAAGGCCCUGACAACCCUUUGGAGCAGCCCCGGCAGAUGCCAGUUUCUUUGAGGGAUCAGUUCUUGGUGCUGCUGUGCUCCCCUUUCACAGACCUGCUUCCCGUGCUGCAGCACAGACCUCUCUACUCCUCCCCUUUGCUAAUGUUUCCUUGGCUUGGCAAUUGCAGAGUGGACACUGAAGAAACCCUAGGAGAAGCUCACCUCAAAUACCAGGAAACUUGGAACCAGGGAGAGUUUCAGGACACAAAGGGAACGAAAGAGAUCUGUUUGGUGGUCUUACAUCUGCUCAGUCCAUGAGGACCGAUCGUGCUCCACUUUUCCCAAUUUAGUUUUACUGCAUUUCUUGGUAGAGCCACCCACUUGGAUCUGCUCAAUGACAUAUGGCUGGAUUCCUCAUCAUCACGGGUUUUUUUCUUGCCCAACACAUCUGGAAUAAAAUGGAUUGGAAAAAUUACGUUUCCACAUUGAGGAAAGGAAAAAGAUGGUUCAGAGAGUUCCUAUGGUGAAGAAAAUGUUUAGAAAACCCAGUAGAUCAAACACACAUACACUUAUACCUGCUCCCUCAUUAACUGCUGUUAAAAUGUCAGUUAAAAGGAUUUUUACAGAAAGAAACCACAAGAACAAAGGAAACAGGAAAUAGAAAAGGAGUAAAGAGCAGACAAGUGAUGACAUCAAAAUUUUGAAAGUUGUAAAGCAGAAUGUGUAUUACUUGGGGGGAAAAUGCACUAUAUCAGAAACAAAAAGAGCUCCCUAAAAGCUUCCAGAGAGGCUUAAAAAUAAUAAAAGUUGGGUCUCAUAUCAAGAGGAGAAGAAUGGAGCGAGGUGCCACUAUUGUUAUUUAAGUUUGUGGGAGCAUCUGAUUUUUAAACAUUGUGUUCUUAAGGCACCCGGGUGGCUCAGUCAGUUAAGUGUCCGACUUCUGCUCAGGUCAUGAUUUCGUGGUUUGCGGGUUCAAGACCUGCAUCAGGCUCUGUG